rnacentral:rRNA from 1 species
CCUACGGGCGGCAGCAGUGGGGAAUAUUGGGCAAUGGGCGCAAGCCUGACCCAGCAACGCCGCGUGAAGGAAGAAGGCUUUCGGGUUGUAAACUUCUUUUGACAGGGAAGAGUAGAAGACGGUACCUGUCGAAUAAGCCACGGCUAACUACGUGCCAGCAGCCGCGGUAAUACGUAGGUGGCCAUCGUUGUCCGGAUUUACUGGGUGUAAAGGGCGUGUAGCCGGGUUGACAAGUCAGAUGUGAAAUCCUGCGGCUUAACCGCAGAACUGCAUUUGAAACUGUUGAUCUUGAGUACUGGAGAGGCAGACGGAAUUCCUAGUGUAGCGGUGAAAUGCGUAGAUAUUAGGAGGAACACCAGUGGCGAAGGCAGUCUGCUGGACAGCAACUGACGGUGAGGCGCGAAAGCGUGGGGAGCAAACAGGAUUAGAUACCCCAGUAGUC